rnacentral:rRNA from 1 species
UACGUAGGGCGCAAGCGUUGUCCGGAAUUAUUGGGCGUAAAGAGCUCGUAGGCGGUUUGUCACGUCUGUCGUGAAAGCCCACGGCUUAACCGUGGGUCUGCGGUGGAUACGGGCAGACUAGAGGCAGGUAGGGGAGAAUGGAAUUCCCGGUGUAGCGGUGAAAUGCGCAGAUAUCGGGAGGAACACCGGUGGCGAAGGCGGCUCUCUGGGCCUGUACUGACGCUGAGGAGCGAAGGCCAGGGGAGCAAACGGG